UCGCUGCCGAAGAGGGUCCAACUGCUCCGCAAGUUCAUCAAGAUCGCAGCACUCUGUAAGCAGCAGCAGGACUUGCUGUCUUUCCUCGCUGUGGUUCUGGGUCUAGACAACCCUGCUGUCAGCAGACUGCGACUCACCUGGGAGGGUCUCCCGGGGAAGUUCAGGAAGCAGUUUCAGCAGUUUGAGGGCGUCGCGGACCCGUCCAGGAACCAUAAGUCCUACAGAGACCUGAUCACCAGCCUGAGACCUCCACUGAUCCCCUUCACUCCUCUGCUGCUCAAAGGUGAGUCUGGACCUGAGACCACGUGAUCACACCAACAACCAAUCAGAAGCCUCCUGAUAGUCACGUGACCAUUCCCUUGUUGCCACGGUCCCCUGAGAGUCUCUCCUGAACUCCUUGUGAUCGUUUCUCUUAUUGCUCCUCUGAGACGACUUUCCUCCUCCAGCUGUGGACCAGAUGUGAAGCCGUGUUAGCGACGUUAGCUCCUCCUCGCUAAUUAGCACCUCUGGCUAAUCAGCUGCAUGUCGCUGUUAACACACACACACACACAUACA